GGCCAAGCGCAGCUCCGACUCAAGUUGAUAUUUUUUUUCCAAAAUUAAAUAAAAAUCUCAGGAGCCGAUCUGAUACAAACUAAAGGCAUUGGAAGGUUGCUGCUGUUCUAGAGAACAUUUUGCGUCGGACAGAAAAUCGUUGCGCAGUCGUUUGGAUUUUUUUACAAUUUUUUUUGUGUGUGCGCGUGACGGCUGCGCGCGGAGCAGAGGAGGCGGCGGUUGGCGCCACAUUCAAACCGUCAGCCGACGAAGAACGAGGGUCUAAACAGCGCAGUUCAGCUUUUUUCUUUGAAGCGGUGCCGCCGCUUCAUGUCUGUUUAAACACUGCUGUUAAUGUUGACCAUCGUAAAAGGAAGAUGUCUUAGUUGUUGCUAGAGGAGGGUUGUCUUCAGUUCAACCAUGUAGAUCCAUCUUCAUCUCCCUCCAGCCUCUGCGGAGAAGAACAGCAAAACUUUGAGCUGAACGUGGAUCAGCGAAACCAAUGCAGGCUCGCUCAGGUUCUCCUGUUUCAGAGUCUGAACUACCAAGAUCUGCAGGCUUUGCUGGGCAUCUUCUUCAUCACUCACUCGGCAGGCCUGAUAGAAGAUCUUCCCCUGCAGAAAGAAGAUCUGUUUCCAGACCCAAACCCCCCGCAGCGCGUCUACGAUCUGUACAACCAGGUGGGCUACAACUGCUUCAUCGCAGCCGCCGUCUACGUGGCGGUGGGAGCGCUGUCCUGCUGCCAGAUGAGGCUCAACAAGAAAAAGGAAUAUCUGGUUCAGUAGAGCCUCAACCGAGGAGACGCUAGCAGGCGGAGGAACUUCAGUUUCAAUAACCGGAACCGGGGAAAUGUAUGAUAGAGACUCUGACCUCUGAUCAUAGGAACAUUGAAGUCUUUAAAUAACAAGCUAACACCAAAGAAAGAAAACUUGUGUUUGGAUUUUUAGACAUAAAAGAAAUAAACCUUUUUCCAUAAACUC